rnacentral:rRNA from 1 species
AUUGAACGCUGGCGGCAGGCCUAACACAUGCACGUCGAGCGGAUGAAGGGAGCUUGCUCCUGGAUUCCGCGGCGGACGAGUCCGCAAUGCCUAGGAAUCUGCCUGGUAGUGGGGGAUAACGCCCGGAAACGGGCCCUAAUACCGCAUACGGUCUGAGGGAGAAAGUGGGGCAUCUUCGCACCUCACGCUAUCAGAUGAGCCUAGGUCUGAUUAGCUAGUUGGUGGGGUAAAGGCCUACCAAGGCGACGAUCCGUAACUGGGCUGAGAGGAUGAUCAGUCACACUGGAACUGGGACACGGUCCAGAGUCCUACGCGAGGCAGCAGUGGGGAAUAUUGGACAAUGGUCGAAAGCCUGAUCCAGACAUGCCGCGUGUGUGAAGACGGUCUUCUGAUUGUAAAGCACUUUAAGGUGAGAGGAUGGGCAUUAAGUUAAUACCGUGCUAUAUUGACGUUACCAGCAGAGUAAGCGACGGCUAACUGCGUG